rnacentral:rRNA from 1 species
GUACACGCUGUGACUAGCAUAUCAAUAAGCGGAGGAAAAGAAACUAACAAGGAUUCCCCUAGUAACGGCGAGUGAAGCGGGAAGAGCUCAAAUUUGAAAUCUUAAAGGGUUUCCCUUUACGAAUUGUAGUUUAAAGAAGUGUUUUCUGUUGAGGUUUUGGUAAAAGUUCUUUGGAAUAGGACAUCAUAGAGGGUGAGAAUCCCGUAUUUGACCUUUACUUUCAACUUUGUGAUACACUUUCAAAGAGUCGGAUUGUUUGGGAAUGCAGUCCAAAAUGGGUGGUAAAUUUCAUCUAAAGCUAAAUAUUGGCGAGAGACCGAUAGCGAACAAGUACCGUGAGGGAAAGAUGAAAAGAACUUUGAAAAGAGAGUUAAACAGUACGUGAAAUUGUCAAAAGGGAAGCAUUUGACACCAGCGUUGUUUUUCUGAAAAUCAAUUAAAGAACUGUUUAUGCUAAGCUGUUUAGACUUUAUCAGCUAUCUGUUUAGUUUUGAGCUUUUCUUUAAUGCACUUUUCAGUUAACAAGUCAACAUCAAUUUCUUUUGCUGUAAAAAAGCUUGAGGAAGGUGGCUUGAGAUUCGUCUUAAGUGUUUAUAGCCUCUUGCCUAUGCAGUCGGAGAGAUUGAGGUCUGCAGCGUAGAUCCUUCGGGGCUAAAUGCAUUUGUGCUAAGUUAUAGCAUUUUAUAGACAACUUGUUGACUAUGAUUUGUCUUGUAGCUUACUCGCUUAUGUUAUUUUACCUACGCUUAGGAUGUUGAUAUGCAUGACUGAUAU